rnacentral:rRNA from 1 species
ACGGGAGGCAGCAGUGGGGGAUAUUGCACAGUGGGGGAAACCCUGAUGCAGCGACGCCGCGUGAGUGAAGAAGUAUUUCGGUAUGUAAAGCUCUAUCAGCAGGAAAGAUAAUGACGGUACCUGACUAAGAAGCAUCGGCUAACUCCGUGCCAGCAGCCGCGGUAAUACGGAGGAUGCGAGCGUUAUCCGGAUUUAUUGGGUUUAAAGGGUGCGUAGGCGGCCCCUUAAGUCGGCGGUGAAAUUUCCGGGCUCAACCCGGUCACUACCGUCGAAACUGGGGGGCUUGAGUGCGUUUGGGGUGGCUGGAAUGUGCGGUGUAGCGGUGAAAUGCAUAGAUAUCGCACAGAACGCCGAUCGCGGAGGCAGGUCACCAAGCCGCAACUGACGCUGAGGCACGAAAGCGCGGGGAUCGAACAGGAUUAGAUACCCUGGUA